CGGACACACUGAUGGAGAAACAACAGGUGAUCAGAACCAAGACAGUUUGGACUGUAAGGUUUCAGGGGUCAUUGAUCAGUUCAGACCAGAUCAUUGAAUUCUGGCCGCGAAGACCGAUGGUCCAGAAUGAACGUCCAGCUUAUUUUAGAAAGACAGAAACAAACUUUAUGAAUUGUUUAACCAAAACCAUCAAUUCAAAUAUAAAAACCUCCAAUAAGCUGAAAAAUGUUCAAACGUUUCACAUUUAAUCCAGUUUUUACACCAGCGGUAUAACAGACCCCAACACCUCCUCCAACCAGGUAUAACAGACCCCAACACCUCCUCCAACCAGGUAUAACAGACCCCAACACCUCCUCCAACCAGGUAUAACAGACCCCAACACCUCCUCCAACCAGGUGUAACAGACCCCAACACCUCCUCCAACCAGGUGUAACAGACCCCAACACCUUCUCCAACCAGGUGUAACAGACCCCAACACCUUCUCCAACCAGGUGUAACAGACCCCAACACCUCCUCCAACCAGGUGUAACAGACCCCAACACCUCCUUCAACCAGGUAUAACAGACCCCAACACCUUCUCCAACCAGGUAUAACAGACCCCAACACC